CUGCCGGACCGUUGCCUCGUCGAGCUUGCCGCCAGGAUUCUGAACGACAUGGCGCUGCACGAUAUCGACCGCCGACAUGAUCAUGCCCGGNNNNNNNNNNNNGCAUUGCAGCCCGUGAUUGUCGCGGAAUGCCGCCUGCAUCGGAUGCAACUCGUCGCCGUGGGACAACCCCUCAAUCGUCGUCACGCUUGCGCCGUCCGCCUGNNCAUCGUGCACGACUUUACCGCGCGUCCGUCGACAUGCACCACGCAGGCCCCGCACUGGCUGGUGUCGCAGCCGACAUGCGUUCCUGUCAGAUUCAGAUGAUCACGCAGAAAAUGGACCAG
rnacentral:misc_RNA from 1 species